rnacentral:rRNA from 1 species
CGGGGUGAGUAAUGUCUGGGAAACUGCCUGAUGGAGGGGGAUAACUACUGGAAACGGUAGCUAAUACCGCAUAACGUCGCAAGACCAAAGAGGGGGACCUUCGGGCCUCUUGCCAUCGGAUGUGCCCAGAUGGGAUUAGCUAGUAGGUGGGGUAACGGCUCACCUAGGCGACGAUCCCUAGCUGGUCUGAGAGGAUGACCAGCCACACUGGAACUGAGACAUGGUCCAG